rnacentral:rRNA from 1 species
GAGCGGUAGAGAGAAGCUUGCUUCUCUUGAGAGCGGCGGACGGGUGAGUAAUGCCUAGGAAUCUGCCCGGUAGUGGGGGAUAACGUUCGGAAACGGACGCUAAUACCGCAUACGUCCUACGGGAGAAAGCAGGGGACCUUCGGGCCUUGCGCUAUCAGAUGAGCCUAGGUCGGAUUAGCUAGUUGGUGGGGUAAUGGCUCACCAAGGCGACGAUCCGUAACUGGUCUGAGAGGAUGAUCAGUCACACUGGAACUGAGACACGGUCCAGACUCCUACGGGAGGCAGCAGUGGGGAAUAUUGGACAAUGGGCGAAAGCCUGAUCCAGCCAUGCCGCGUGUGUGAAGAAGGUCUUCGGAUUGUAAAGCACUUUAAGUUGGGAGGAAGGGUUGUAGAUUAAUACUCUGCAAUUUUGGCGUUACCGACAGAAUAAGCACCGGCUAACUCUGUG